GGUUCUAUGGUGUAGUGGUAUCACACUUCGUUUACACUCCACAUGUGGGUUGAUAACCGAAUAGGUCUUGGGUUCGAACCCCAAUGGAACCA